rnacentral:rRNA from 1 species
CAAUAGCGUAUAUUAAAGUGGUUGCAGUUAAAAAGCUCGUAGUUGGAUUUCUGGUGGGAGCGAUCGGUCUGGCGCUUAGCGCGAGUACUUGCAUCGUCUCCGGCCAUCCUUGGGGAGAGUCUGUCUGGCAUUAGGUUGUCGGGCAGAGGAUCCUCAUCGUUUACUGUGAAAAAAUUAGAGUGUUCAAAGCAGGCUUAUGCCGUUGAAUAUAUUAGCAUGGAAUAAUAAGAUAGGACUUUGGUACUAUUUUGUUGGUUUGCGCACCAAAGUAAUGAUUAAUAGGGACAGUUGGGGGUAUUCGUAUUCCGUUGUCAGAGGUGAAAUUCUUGGAUUUACGGAAGACGAACUACUGCGAAAGCAUUUACCAAGGAUGUUUUCAUUAA